GAGGCAACGGCUCACGAGUCCUUCAACAGAGAGAGAGCAGAGAGAGGGGGCUGAGUGAGCUCUCUCGGCAGCCAUUUUCCUUAAAACAGGACUCAAUGGCCUAUAUGGGUUUCCUUUGUUCCAAAAAGGGAUCUUUACACUUGGUUUCCUCAUCUCUUUACGGACUAUGAUAAAACGUAUGUUUGCUCCUUUUAAAGGAUUGGGAAGAUUGGAAGAGAAUAUAGCUACUGGAUGUAAUACCCUGUGACAUUUUGAGCCUUUUUUUUUUUUUUUCUUGGAAUCCAUCUUUGUCUUAACUAGGUCAUGGCACACCCAUAUAAUAUGUGUAGAUGUUAAGUAAAAAGAAACCAAAUUUGAAUAAACUGUUUUAUGAGUUAAAAAGAUGUCGAAUUAGACAUGAAAACAGUUGAUAUUCAUGUAUAGCCUUUUAAGAAGUGACUAGCUAUAACAACAUGGCUCGUCUUGUUCCCUGACCUGCAACGGUGGAAACAACCAGAACCACGUUUAAGUUCGAGUCGUCCACUCGCCAUUUCUGAGACAAACGCGUCCACAGUGUAAACGACGGUCUGACCUUGCCUCAAGGGUAUAUCUGAAUAUAUAUAUAUCUAUAGAAGCAUAUUCAGAUAGUCAACUUUGUGUAGUAUUUAAAAGCACAAUCAAUCAAAAAUCUAAUAGGAAACCGAUGGAGGAAAAAAAAAUCUCUCAUAGUGAAAAUAUUUACCUCAACACUUUGGUGAAAAGCAGUUAACAGGCCUAAACGCAGGGACAGGAGGAAAGUUUUCAGCCCCAUCUUCGGAUCCUCUAAUAAUGGCUUUAAUAAGGGGUGGGAAUGCGUCUCCUGGAAAGGAAGGGAUUCCAUUAGCACGACAGAUCAUUUUUAAAAAGUCAUUUUUCCCCCCCUCUCAUCACUGGCAAGCAUACCCCAUCUGACAGCCAGCGAAUGUGCAUCUCCAAGCAUCAUCUGUGUGGGCAAUAUAUGCAAAACCAACUCUUCUCUUCCUCAAGACAGGAUUGCAGUCGAGUAUAACCUCGUCCAUUUUCGACAUUUCUAACUGAGCUACAACAUUAAAACCUACAAGGAUGUGUUUUUAAAAAAGGUAACUGAUUUUUCUUAGCUAUUUACACCUACUUUUCCUGAACGUAUACUUAGAAACCUGGAAAAAAAUCUGCUUCAAUCCAUAUUUUAUUUUGAUUAUAGCAAACUUACAGUUAUUUAAAACUCUUACACGAGCCCCCCUCCCCCCCCAAAAAAAAUAAAAAUAUGGGGAGGAUAUCUUGUGUUUUUUCACAUCCAAAUACACUUUAAGGCGGUUAGGUUUCUCUUUCUCAGUUCUGUCUCAAAAUGGCUUCUUUACAGACAAAAGGGAAGCACUGUGCUGUGAAAUGUUGCUGCGCCAUAACUGGGUGAGGCUCAGCAUUGCGCCCUUAUUUUCACCGAACGCCUCCUUCGAUAUUUUCCGGCUCUUAAAACAUAACAUAAAGGCCGGUAGCGAGGAUGGUUACCAACAUAAUGUAUGACUGGGGAAAAAAA